AGCGUGUCAUUCAAGGCAGAGGGCAGAAUGCUCCUGAAGCAGCCAUUGAGGAAACUUUCAACAUCGCAGCUAGCUCUGGUGAAGACGAUGGCCAUGGCUUCGUGCUGCCUGACCUAGGAUUCCUAAAUUCAGUGAUGCCAACUGGCAGUGCCUUAAGCUCUUUCACAACUACAAGGAUCGUUGAUGCACUCUUUCAGGAAAUGAUGAAGCACACGAUAUACCCAUCACGGAGAUUUUACCAGAAAGUCGGCCUCACAUUGAUUGAAAUGUACCCACAACUUGCGGACGCAUGCGGCAGUGGCCAUAAUUUCUGGGUGCACAUGCUGAAAAAUAAAUAUGAAAAUGAACGCCGCAAAUUGGAUAACGACCGCGUCAUCCUGGCGAGGAAAAAGUACGGAGAUGGGUGCAAAGGACGAAGAACACAUGAGCACAGCGAGCAG